rnacentral:tRNA from 1 species
GGCUCCAUAGUGUAGUGGUUAGUACAUCUGCUUUACACGCAGAAGGUCCUGUGUUCGUGAGCCAGGUGGAGCCA